rnacentral:tRNA from 1 species
GCCGGUGUGGCGGAAUUGGCAGACGUGCGGGAUUUAGGUUCCCGUGUCUAAAUUGACGUGUGGGUUCGAGUCCCAUCGCCGGCACCA